rnacentral:rRNA from 1 species
GAUGAACGCUGGCGGCGUGCCUAAUACAUGCAAGUCGAGCGAACAGACGAGGAGCUUGCUCCUCUGACGUUAGCGGAGGACGGGUGAGUAACACGUGGAUAACCUCCCUAUAAGACUGGGAUCACUUCGGGAAACCGGCGCUAAUACCGUAUAAUCUAUUGAACCGCAUUGUUCAAUAGUGAAAGACGGUUUUGCUGUCACUUAUCGAUGGAUCCGCGCCGCAUUAGCUAGUUGCUAAGUUAACGGCUUACCACGGCAACGAUGCGUAGCCGACCUGAGGGGGUGAUCGGCGACAUGGGAGCUGGAACACGGACCAGAGGCCUACGGGAGGCAGCAGUAGGGAAUCUUCGGCAAUGGGCGAAAGCAUGACGGAGCAACGCCGCGUGAGUGAUGAAGGUCUUCGGAUCGGAAAACUCUGUUAUGAGGGAAGAACAAAUGUGUAAGUAACUAUGCACGGCUUGACGGUACCGAAUCAGAAAGCCACGGCUAACUACGUG